UGUAAGCGUAUACCAAAGUUGUUGCAGUUAAAACGCUCGUAGUCGGAAUUUGGCAGUUCCGGAUGUGUGCACGUCGUGUGCGCACUUCGCGGGGAUUGCUUUUGUGGUCUUGCGUAGGAUGAGGCACUUUUAUUAGUGAACGUCCUCACGCAACCACUUUUUACUGUGAGAAAAUCAGAGUGCUCAAAGCAGGCAUUUGCCGUGAAUGUAUUAGCAUGGAAUAAUAGAAUAGGACUUGGUUCUAUUUUGUUGGUUUGUUGGGACUGAGUAAUGAUUAAGAGGGACAGUUGGGGGCAUUUGUAUUUCGGUGCUAGAGGUGAAAUUCUUAGAUUACCGAAAGACAAACUGCUGCGAAAGCGUCUGCCAAGGAUGGUUUCAUUGA
rnacentral:rRNA from 1 species